rnacentral:piRNA from 2 species
UCCAUCUGGAAAGCCGGGCUGCCAGGGU